GAGGCGGAAGAAGAAGCUAAGUUACAUGGGCUAGCGUCCGACCAGGGGAUUCCAGCUACGGUUCGACGGCCCCGAAACUAGUUCGGUACCACGGUGAUUGGCAGGAGGACGAGAGUCUGACGGAGGAGCAGAGGAACGCUGGCAGCCAUUUUGUCUGAGCUCAGCGCCGGAGGAAAAAAUGAGUUCUUCA